UUCCGGUUGAUCCUGCCGGACCUGACUGCUAUCGGAUUGAUACUAAGCCAUGCGAGUCAUUGUAGCAAUACAAGGCAGACGGCUCAGUAACGCGUAGUCAACCUACCCUAUGGACGGGAAUAACCUCGGGAAACUGAGUAUAAUGCCCGAUAGAACACUAUACCUGGAAUGGUUUGUGUUCCAAAUGAUUUAUCGCCGUAGGAUGGGACUGCGGCCUAUCAGUUUGUUGGUGAGGUAAUGGCCCACCAAGACUAUUACAGGUACGGGCUCUGAGAGGAGUAGCCCGGAGAUGGGUACUGAGACACGGACCCAGGCCCUAUGGGGCGCAGCAGGCGAGAAAACUUUGCAAUGUGCGAAAGCACGACAAGGUUAAUCCGAGUGGUUUCUGCUAAAGGAACCUUUUGUUAGUCAUAGAACCACUAAUGAAUAAGGGGUGGGCAAGUUCUGGUGUCAGCCGCCGCGGUAAAACCAGCACCUCAAGUGGUCAGGAUGAUUAUUGGGCCUAAAGCAUCCGUAGCCGGCUUUGUAAGUUUUCGGUUAAAUCCAUACGCUCAACGUAUGGGCUGCCGGGAAUACUGCAAGGCUAGGGAGUGGGAGAGGUAGACGGUACUCGGUAGGAAGGGGUAAAAUCCUUUGAUCUAUUGAUGACCACCUGUGGCGGAGGCGGUCUACCAGAACACGUCCGACGGUGAGGGAUGAUAGCUGGGAGGAGCAAACAGGAUUAGAUAACCGGGUAGUCCCAGCUGUAAGCUAUGCAAACUCGUUGAUGCGUUGUUUUGAUGCCAAUGCAGUGCCGCAGGGA
rnacentral:rRNA from 1 species